CUUGGAACAUAGAGAUGGAGACUUUUUCUGCCUGAGCCCCUGUGUGAUGACAUCCUAGGCUGACAUCUUUCCCCUACCUACCCUGCCACCACCAGCGGACAUGGGUGGAUUGUAUGAAAAGAUAUUAGAAACACAGAAAUACAGCAUCACUGUGAGGAAAUUCUUGACUUGUGAGAUCAUGAAGUCAAGUGGGACUUUCAACCUAGGAAGAAGAGGUAUUUGAGAAGACCUUAGACUUCAUGAAUGUCAAGCCUUUUCACAAACUUCCAGGAAAAGUAUCAGCCAAAGGAAGAAGGGAAGGAAGACAGCUAGAGGACCUUAAAUGAUAAGAUGCCAUUUAAAGAGCAAAUAGCAGCUCAAGGUA
rnacentral:lncRNA from 1 species